UCCUGUGAAAGAGGUGCUUUUUUCCCCCACUUACUCACAUUUCUUUGCCUACAACCUGCCCCCCCCCACACACACAAACACACUUAAACCACAUUCUCCCACACAGCUUAUCAGCUAAUAUAAUCACUGCUGAGGUGAUAUUUGCAUUAAUACGAUUAUGUUCACCUCGUGAUCAUCAUCCUUAUCAUAAUCAUCACCAUCAGCAGUCAUGAUCUCCCAUUUUCUCCUGCUGGUUCUUGCCUGCCUUCCGUCAUUCACAAUGGCCCAGAAUGUGAUAGGAUCAGAUAAAUGCUGUUUCAUAUAUGCCCGGUAUUCAAUCCCUGCUGCAGUCAUUAAAAGCUACAGUGUAACAAGGCCUGACUGUACAUAUCCUGGAGUCAUUUUUAUUGGAUUUAAUGGGCGCAGGAUGUGUGCCAACCCCAGCUUGGCGUCGGUGCAGCGAGCAAUGAAAAAAAUCGACCGACGCCUGUUUGAAAGCUCAACUUAACCAGUGACUAAAGCUUAAUUCUUUUUUCUACAACACACCUUUCACCUAUAGUUUGUUGCUUUGCAUAACAAGUGUAAAGACAAUCUUUGACCGUAAAGAUUUGCUUAAAUGAUUUUGCCAUCAUAUUACUGAUUUGCAGUAAAGGCUGCGGGCAUGAAUUCAUUUUAUUUUUCUGUUAAUUCAAUAAAGUACAUUUGUAUUACUCAUUAUUGCAAUAUUUCUACUAAAUAAAUUCACAUUUUAAAAGAAAACAUUGUUGUUUGUAUAUAAUGCCACUUUAAUAGCUACAUUCUAAUAUUUAAAAAAGAAACAUACUUCUCGAUAAAGAAAGAGUAAGAGAAUCAAUGGAUCAAUAUGUGCAAUUACUUGCUACAUGUGCAGUAGUUUAUAAUCAGUAUCACGUUUCACUUUAGAAACAUCCUGUAAUUCAACCUUCCUAAGUUCCCACACCACCCCAUUGCUAUGCUCCCUCCGCUG